rnacentral:misc_RNA from 1 species
GGGUAAUCAAGUUCCCCAGGACUUAGUCUCAAAGGUUGGCGAGACUUUUGAGAGCAUUUUGAAGGAGACUGAUCUAAUUAGGAAAGAAAACAGUGAAGACAUGUCUAUCGGUUGUGCUAUAUCAAUGGUUUUUGAAAGGAGACCUGAUUUAAGGUUGAACGGCCUUGGUCAUAAGGUGUUGCAGUGGUACCUAUGCAGAAUGGAAGGCUGGUUUGCU